CUACGGGAUGCAGCAGUGAGGAAUUUUGCGCAAUGGGGGGAACCCUGACGCAGCAACGCCGUGUGAGUGAAGAAGGCCUUUGGGUCGUAAAGCUCUGUCAACUGGGAAGAAGUUACUAUGCUUAAAUAGAGUGUAGUAUUGACGGUACCAGUGGAGGAAGCGUCAGCUAACUCCGUGCCAGCAGCCGCGGUAACACGGGGGACGCAAGCGUUAUUCGGAAUUAUUGGGCGUAAAGGGCGCGUAGGCGGUCGUGUCGGUCAGGUGUGAAAGCCCGGGGCUCAACCCCGGACGUGCACUUGAAACAGCAAGACUCGAGUACGGGAGAGGAAAGCGGAAUUCCUGGUGUAGAGGUGAAAUUCGUAGAUAUCAGGAGGAACACCGAUGGCGAAGGCAGCUUUCUGGACCGAAACUGACGCUGAGGCGCGAAGGCGUGGGUAGCGAACGGGAUUAGAUACCCCUGUAGUC
rnacentral:rRNA from 1 species